UACGAAGGGGGCGAGCGUUAUUCGGAAUCACUGGGCGUAAAGCGUGCGUAGGCUGUUCUGCAAGUCAGAAGUGAAAGCCCAAGGCUCAACCUUGGAAGCGCUUUUGAAACUGCAGGACUAGAAUUUGGGAGAGGAUAGCGGAAUUGUCAGUGUAGCAGUGAAAUGCGUAGAUAUCAGGAGGAACACCUGCGGUGUAGACGGCUUUCUGGACCAUUACUGACACUGAGACACGAAAGCGUGGGUAGCAAACAGGAUUAGAAACCCGAGUAGU
rnacentral:rRNA from 1 species